AUUCAACUCUCCCGGCCGGCCUAACCCCUGCACGUCUCGUGUAGCGGCUGCCGGGUGAGUAAUGCCUAGGAAUCUGCCUGGUAGUGGGGGAUAACGUCCGGAAACGGGCGCUAAUACCGCAUACUAUCAGAUGAGCCUAGGUCGGAUUAGCUAGUUGGUGGGGUAAAGGCCUACCAAGGCGACGAUCCGUAACUGGUCUGCGAGGCUGAUCAGUCACGCUGGACCUGAGAGACGGUCCAGACUUCUACGAGAGGCAGCAGGGGGGAAUAUUGGACAAUGGGCGAAAGCCUGAUCCAGCCAUGCAGCGUGUGUGAAGAAGGUCUUCGGAUUGUAAAGCACUUUAAGUUGGGAGGCGUUACCAACAGAAUAAGCACCGGCUAACUUCGUGCCAGCAGCCGCGGUAAUAC
rnacentral:rRNA from 1 species